rnacentral:rRNA from 1 species
CCGUAGUCAUAUGCUUGUUUAAAGAUUAAGCCAUGCAUGUCUAAGUAUAAGCAAAAAUACAGCAAAUCUGCAAAUGGCUCAUUAAAACAGUUAUGGUUUACUUGAUAAUAGUUUUUACAUGGAUAACCGUGGUAAUUCUACAGCUAAUACAUGAGCAAAAUCUCAACUUUAUUAGAAGAGACGCAUUUAUUAGAUAAAAAGCCAAUGCAUGCUUUUACAGUAUGAAAAUUGGUGAUUUAUAAUAACUUAGCAAAUCGCAAAGUGAAAACAGGCGAUAAAUCAUUCAAGUUUCUGACCUAUCAGCUUUCGACGGUAUGGUAUUGGCUUACCGUGGCAGUGACGGUUAACGGGGGAUUAGGGUUCGAUUCCGGAGAGGGAGCCUGAGAAACGGCUACCACAUCUAAGGAAGGCAGCAGCCGCGCAAAUUACCCAAUUCUAACAGUUUGAGAGAGGUAGUAACAAGAAAUAACAAUACAAGGCAGUUAAAAUGCUUUGUAAUUGGAAUGAUAGAAAUUUAAACCCUUUUUAAAGUAUCAAUUGGAGGGCAAGUCUGGUGCCAGCAGCCGCGGUAAUUCCAGCUCCAAUAGCGUAUAUUAAAAUUGUUGCAGUUAAAAAGCUCGUAGUUGAAGUUCUGCUAAAAGUAACCGGUCUGCUUUUAAUAAAGGUGGUAUCUUGGUGUGUAUUUAGCAAUGAUGUCCUUUGAAGUGUUUUUUACUUUAUUGUAAUAAAGCAUAUUCAGGACUUUUACUUUGAGAAAAUUAGAGUGUUUCUAGCAGGCUGACGCUUUGAAUACUGCAGCAUGGAAUAAUAAGAUAGGAUUUUAGUUCUACAUUAUUGGUUUUAAGAGCUAAAUUAAUGAUGAUA